GGCUUAAGCAUUUUGGUCCGCCGUUGAGGACCAAAAUGGAGUUAUUGGCCAGUUAGCUCAUCAGACCCGGGUCGUGACAUUUUUGGAUAAUGUAAUAUCCCAUUAGUCCCACAUCGGAAGUGGGGAAUGUGUGUGAUUAGCUUAUAAGGGCCUGAUGAGUGUACUACGUUACCUCCCGCUUAAGCAUUUUGGUCCGCCUCACAUGCACUAUGCUAGGGUUCGAUCUGGGAUAUGUCAGGCACCUCACAUGCACUAUGCUAUCCCAUUAGUCCCACAUCGGAAGUGGGGAAUGUGUAUGAUUAGCUUAUAAGGGCCUGAUGAGUGUACUAUGUUACCUCCCGCUUAAGCAUUUUGGUCCGCCGUUGAGGA
rnacentral:lncRNA from 1 species